rnacentral:rRNA from 1 species
AUACGUAGGGGGCGAGCGUUGUCCGGAAUGAUUGGGCGUAAAGGGCGCGUAGGCGGCCCGGUAAGUCUGGAGUGAAAGUCCUGUUUUUAAGAUGGGAAUUGCUUUGGAUACUGUCGGGCUUGAGUGCAGGAGAGGUAAGUGGAAUUCCCAGUGUAGCGGUGAAAUGCGUAGAGAUUGGGAGGAACACCAGUGGCGAAGGCGACUUACUGGACUGUAACUGACGCUGAGGCGCGAAAGUGUGGGGAGCAAACAGGAUUAGAUACCCUGGUAGUCCACACUGUAAACGAUGAAUGCCAGGUGUAGGGGGUAUCGACCCCUUCUGUGCCGCAGUCAACACAAUAAGCAUUCCGCCUGGGGAGUACGGCCGCAAGGUUGAAACUCAAAUGAAUUGGCGGGG